ensembl:snRNA U6 U6 spliceosomal RNA
AUGCUCACUUUGGCAGCACAUAUACUAAAAUUGGAACGAUACAAAGAUUAGCAUGGCCCCUGCACAAGGAUGACAUGCAAAUUCGUAAAGAAAAAAAAAAAAGA